AGUGAACGCUGGCGGUAGGCCUAACACAUGCAAGUCGAACGGCAGCACAGUAAGAGCUUGCUCUUACGGGUGGCGAGUGGCGGACGGGUGAGGAAUACAUCGGAAUCUACUUUUUCGUGGGGGAUAACGUAGGGAAACUUACGCUAAUACCGCAUACGACCUACGGGUGAAAGCAGUGGAUCUUCGGACCUUGCGCGAUUGAAUGAGCCGAUGUCGGAUUAGCUAGUUGGCGGGGUAAAGGCCCACCAAGGCGACGAUCCGUAGCUGGUCUGAGAGGAUGAUCAGCCACACUGGAACUGAGACACGGUCCAGACUCCUACGGGAGGCAGCAGUGGGGAAUAUUGGACAAUGGGCGCAAGCCUGAUCCAGCAAUACCGCGUGGGUGACGAAGGCCUUCGGAUUGUAAAGCCCUUUUGUUGGGAAAGAAAAGCAGCAGGUUAAUACCCCGCUGUUCUGACGGUACCCAACGAAUAAGCACCGGCUAACUUCGUG
rnacentral:rRNA from 1 species